rnacentral:lncRNA from 1 species
AAACCUGCCCCUCCACCAAAGAGGAAACAGGACAUGAAAAGCCACCUGACUCCAGAAGACAUCCAGGUUGUUCACUUGGACAACAUGAAACACGAGGAGGAGAUCCAGAAGUUCCCUCUGCAGACUCCCUACUACGACAUGGCAGCCCCUGAGCCCUCUCCCUACAGUGACAAACUGAAUGAGGAUCAAGGUCUUCGUAGACGUAACGAGCGAGAGUGGACAGGGGCAGAGGAGGAUCUGGGAGAGGAAGAGCAAGGAGGGAAAUGUUUGGGAUGGUUGAUGGAGUGAGGUGCUGUAGGAACACCGUCCAGGUACGUACCAGAGGCAGCAGGGGAAGAAAAAAGCAUGCUGUGAGAAGGAAUGCAAUGCUCUGAGCAAGUUUUCUGCAUAAGUGAUACUUGCAUGUGUCUGAAUGCAUCCCUCACCAUAGGUCCUUGCUCUGGAUUUUGGGAAUUUCAGCUCAAUCUUUUUAUUUCCUGAACCCAGGGGCGAGUCCCUCUGUCCCACUUGCCCUCAGUUUUGUCCUCACAGAAGCCCGAGCUCAGGACCCCGGGGUCCUGCUCAUCCCUGACACAUCAGUGCUUGUUCUUUACUCAGGACAGGGAUUAUCCAAGAGCUCCCUCACAGAUAAAGCAUCAAACACAGCAGAAAGUGGAAAAACAGCUGGAAUACCCCGAGUAGGGAGUUCAGACCCAGGGGAGGAGAGGAUGUGAGGCUCCCAACACCAGGAGGAAAUACUUCUUUUGGCUCCCAGUGUAUUUUCUGUCCAACUCUCACCUGUAAAAUCUUCAGAUUUCCCAAAAACUAUAGGAAAGAAAUCCUCAGGUCACUGAGAAGGAGUUUUUCACUUUCAGACCAGUAAGAACUCAUUAUUCCAAGAUGAUUAGAAGUACAGGACAUGGUCAGCUGCCUCACACCUCCUGCUACCCAAAGAAAUGUUCUGCAAAUAGAAGAAAAGAUGGAAUUGGGAGUGGAGGGAUGGAGAAGGGUUGAGUUAAAGUCAUGGCAGAAAUGAAAGCUCCCUAAUUCAAUCAAAUAAAGCCUGUUUAAAGGUAAUCUGCCA